CUACGGGAGGCAGCAGUGGGGAAUAUUGCACAAUGGGGGAAACCCUGAUGCAGCAACGCCGCGUGAGUGAUGACGGUCUUCGGAUUGUAAAACUCUGUCUUCAGGGACGAUAAUGACGGUACCUGAGGAGGAAGCCACGGCUAACUACGUGCCAGCAGCCGCGGUAAUGA
rnacentral:rRNA from 1 species